GCUAAUUCGGUAGGUGUGAGUUUAUGUCUCAGAUUAUUAAUUCCUCUUGCUACGACACUCCAACUAGCAAGGCACUAAAACUAUUGCAUUCUAGCAAUGCAGUUCCUUGUAGAUUCAAAAAAAAUGAGGUAAUUUUCUCUCAUCUACAUUUUAAGAUUGCUGUACUGACUAGAGAGAUGACUUAGUGGUUAACAGCUCUUGCUGCCUGUGCUGGUUUAAAUAAGAAUGCUCCCCUCAGGUGCAUGUAUUUGACUACAUCGUCCACAGCUGCAGUAACUGCUUUGGUAAGGAUUAUGAGGUGGUCUGGUUGGAACAGCUGUGUCACUGCGGGUUUGCUUUGAGAUUUCAAGACUCUUUCCAUUCCCAUUGUCCCUGUCUCUCUGCCUCAUACUUGUGGAUUAAGGCGUGAGCUUGCAGCUGCUGUGCCUGCCAGCCUGUGGUCAUGCUCCCUGCUGUGACGGUCAGGGACUCUGUCUGAAAGUUGAGG
rnacentral:lncRNA from 1 species